GUCUUUUUGAAUUUAAAUUUAAAGUCUAAUCUGCCCCCUGACUUGUUAAAUGGCCGCAGUAUUUUAACUGUGCAAAGGUAGCAUAAUCAUUAGUCUUUUAAUUGGAGGCUUGUAUGAAUGAUUGGACGAGGCAUAAACUGUCUCAUAAAAAUUUAAUUUGAAUUUUAUUUUUUAGUUAAAAAGCUAAAAUGUGGUUAAAAGACGAGAAGACCCUAUAGAUCUUUAUAUAUUAUUUUGUUUAAUUUUUUAGGUUAUUUUUGAAUAUUAUGAAUUAAUAUAUUUUAUUGGGGUGAUAUUGAGACUUGUAUAACUCUCAUUAAUUAAUUAACAUUAAUUUAUGUAUAAUUGAUCCUUUAAUAUUGAUUAAAAAUUUAAGUUACCUUAGGGAUAACAGCGUAAUUAUUUUGGAGAGUUCUUAUCGAUAAAAUAGAUUGCGACCUCGAUGUUGGAUUAAGAUUAAUACUAGGUGCAGCAGUCUAGUGUAUUAAGUCUGUUCGACUUUUAAUUUCUU
rnacentral:rRNA from 1 species